GGGCAAGCUAAGUCGGGGCGUUAGCCGUGCCCUGUCACCGUUAACCGGCUUCAUGGCGGGACUGAAUGCCUGGAAGCGGCGUUGGGCGUGCACUAAAGCCUUGUUUCUGACGAAGACGUUUCGUCCUAUAGGAUUGGUGCGCGCGGGAAUCGGGUCAGGCUGGGAACAGAGCAGCUCUAACCGCACGUGUCGAUGCUUAUGGGAUAGCGGAACCGAGGAGGAAGCAAGUUCACUUUCCUGCAUGGCCGGCGUCCAUUUCAGGCUGCUUGCCC
rnacentral:SRP_RNA from 1 species